CCCCUUGAGUCUCUGACAACAUAGCCUCCCACAGUCGCUGGAAACUGCCCAUACCUGCCCAAGCAAAAUUCAGCCAACAGCUGCCAUGAGAUUUAUUUUCUCUUCCCUCUUUGGUUCCAACUCCGGGCUCCCCCUUGCAGGAUGGAAGGUGGGGGUAGGAGAUUAGUCACUAUCUGCAAUCUUCACACCUUUUAUAUUUGUAUCGUUUUCUUGCCUUUAACCCUCUCACAUCCACAAAGUACCCUAGUUCGCCAUCCCUUGGCCCUCGCCGAAACCUAGUUUGGAGGAAGACGCUCAAGUGGGAAAACAGCAGCGUUGGAUGUUGUGACACAGACGGGGACACCGCUGCGGUCCUUUGAGCAGAGGUCUGCCGGGGUACUAGGGAUGCGCGCGCGGGAUGCCAGACUCGGCGGCGGAGCGAACAGUGCGCACGCGCGCCGCCUGCAGCUCCGCGCGCCCCCGGGUCUGCAGGCCGGGCGCUCGCCGCGCGCCUCUCGCGCCGAGGCCCCGCUCCCGCCCCGAGCGCCGAGGCCCCGCCCCCUACCCGAGCGACCGCCCCGCCCCCGUGAGAGGGCGGUGGGGCGCAGCGAGCGUGCGCGCGGCCCGCCCCGGGCGCGGGCGGAGGAGAGAAGGAAGGGUGCGCGCGGCGGCCAGCCCGCAGACGCCGGGAGCCGCGCAGCAGAGAAGAACGCUGGCCGCGAGCCUGGGCGAGCCGAUCUGAUUUGUAUCCAGUCUGAUCAGCACUCCCUCACAUAAGCCUUUCCAGACCCAGGACUCCAGAGGAACCAGGCACCUCACAAGAAGGCGACUGUAACUUCCGAUUCCUUGGUGGAGGAAAACACCCCCUUCUGGUCUUGCUUCCAAUGAUGCAAGUGUGAUUGCUGGUGUCUUCAUGAGCUCCAGAGGUCACAGCACGCUCCCCCGGACUCUCAUGGCCCCCCGGAUGAUUUCUGAGGGAGACCUGGGAGGCAUUGCGCAGAUCACCUCCUCGCUCUUCCUGGGCAGAGGCAGCGUAGCCUCCAACCGGCACCUCCUCCAGGCUCGCGGCAUCACCUGCAUUGUGAACGCUACCAUCGAGAUCCCCAAUUUCAACUGGCCCCAGUUUGAAUACGUUAAAGUGCCUCUGGCGGACAUGCCUCACGCCCCCAUUGGACUGUACUUUGACACCGUGGCCGACAAGAUCCACAGCGUGAGCCGGAAACACGGGGCCACCCUGGUGCACUGUGCUGCGGGGGUCAGCCGCUCGGCCACGCUCUGCAUCGCGUACCUGAUGAAAUUCCACAACGUGUGCCUGCUGGAGGCCUACAACUGGGUGAAAGCCCGGAGGCCCGUCAUCAGGCCCAACGUCGGCUUCUGGAGGCAGCUGAUAGACUACGAGCGGCAGCUUUUUGGGAAGUCGACAGUUAAGAUGGUACAGACACCGUACGGCAUAGUGCCGGACGUUUACGAGAAGGAGUCCCGACACCUGCUGCCUUACUGGGGGAUCUGAGCCACCGGAGCCCGCAGCAGCAGCCCCUCGAGCGGUACCAGCAUCUGCUACACGCCGUCUGCUCCCCUCCUCACCUCUCUUUCCAAAUGGUGGACAAAUGCUCCUCCCUGAAGUGUUUUUUUUUUUUUACACUGGGUGUUCAUGUUUUAUUUUGAGAGAGAGGGAGGGGAGGGGAGGAAGACACGGGGAAUGCUCACAUUGCUACUAACAUUUUUAAAACUAACAUUUUGGAAUAGUGUUUAUGAAAAUCUUGAACUGGCUUUUAAACAGUUUCAAGUUUCAACAUUUUUAACAAUUUCAACAGUUUAAUAAACUGUUUGGUUCUGCUGUGUUCUCAACCCCAUGCCUCUUGGCAUCGUGGGAGGAGCUCAGUGCAAAAAUCACUUUGGACCCCCAUUAACCCUUUAGGUACAGGCUUUGCCCAGGCUGCCAACCAAACAAAUGCUUAGGGAACACUGAUACCAGCAUCAGUCUCCACUGGAUCAGCCCUACUCUUUUCCUUUCCUUCUAUUAUUUAGUGACUCUGUAAGUUUAAAAAAAAAAAAGCCUUUAUUAUUUAGCUGUUAAAUAAUUAUAAUGCAAUCUGCUGCAAACACCCUCUUGGAAUCAGUGUGCCCCAGGAGUAUAUUAGCAUUAUUUUUAAUAAAUACAUCUGCUUAACAUAUUG
rnacentral:lncRNA from 1 species